rnacentral:rRNA from 1 species
CCUACGGGCGGCAGCAGUGAGGAAUAUUGGUCAAUGGACGGAAGUCUGAACCAGCCAUGCCGCGUGCAGGAAGACGGCUCUCUGAGUUGUAAACUGCUUUUGUACAAGGGUAAACCUGAAUACGUGUAUUCAGCUGAAAGUACUGUACGAAUAAGGAUCGGCUAACUCCGUGACAGCAGCCCCGGUAAGACGGAGGAUCCAAGCGUUAUCCGGAUUUAUUGGGUUUAAAGGGUGCGUAGGCGGAUUGAUAAGUUAGAGGUGAAAUGUCCGAGCGUAACUCGGGAACUGCCUCUAAUACUGUUGAUGUAGAGAGUAGAGGCGGUAGGUGGAAUGUAUGGUGUAGCGGUGAAAUGCUUAGAGAUCAUACAGAACACCGAUUGCGAAGGCAGCUUACCAAUCUAUAUCUGACGUUGAGGCACGAAAGCGUGGGGAGCAAACAGGAUUAGAUACCCUGGUAGUC